rnacentral:rRNA from 1 species
GUAGGUGGCAAGCGUUGUCCGGAAUUAUUGGGCGUAAAGCGCGCGCAGGCGGUCCUUUAAGUCUGAUGUGAAAGCCCACGGCUCAACCGUGGAGGGUCAUUGGAAACUGGGGGACUUGAGUACAGAAGAGGAAAGCGGAAUUCCAAGUGUAGCGGUGAAAUGCGUAGAGAUUUGGAGGAACACCAGUGGCGAAGGCGGCUUUCUGGUCUGUAACUGACGCUGAGGCGCGAAAGCGUGGGGAGCAAACAGGAUUAGAUACCCUGGUAGUCCACGCCGUAAACGAUGAGUGCUAAGUGUUAGGGGGUUUCCCGCCCCCCUUAGUGCUGCAGCUAACGCAUUAAGCACUCGCCUGGGGAGUACGGCCGCAAGGCUG